rnacentral:pre_miRNA from 1 species
AUGCAAACUUGAUCAGGUUUUAGCAUUACAAUUGUUGCUUUUAACUUGGAACCCGUUUGCAA